rnacentral:misc_RNA from 1 species
AAGAAGGGUUCCCACCACCCAUAUUCAUACUUUGGAUAUGGUGCCACCCAUUUUUCUGGCUUCUCAAACUCUAGGGUCGUAGGAUUGGAGGCUAAUGCUUCUUCUAGGGUGUCAGCUUCAUAGCUAUCAGAUAAAACCCGGUCCAAUCUUAGUUUCAUAAACGUGAUCCAUGGACCAUUUGUUGACACUAGAGCAACAGCAGGCCUCUUUAACCUCUUAUUAAUAUUAGGGAAUUUGUCCAAGAACUUG